rnacentral:sRNA from 1 species
UAGUAUAAGUAACCACGAUAGAUGCAGG